rnacentral:misc_RNA from 1 species
ACGAAAACCUUUGUUCUUUCUCUCGUCAGUGUUCAACAUCAGUUCAAUUUACCGGUUUUAGCUGACAAUGUCGAAGACACCGGAUCCAAACAGUACAGAUGCUAGCGGCAGCAAGUCUACAAAAGAAGAGGCAACAAUUAAGGUUCCUUCUAAGGACCCAAAGAAGAAGGAUGAUAAGAAGGAUGAAGAUCUCUCGGAGGAGGAUUUGGCGUUGAAGCAGCAACUGGAACUGUAUGUGGAGAGGGCUCA